CCUACGGGGGGCAGCAGUGGGGAAUAUUGCACAAUGGGGGAAACCCUGAUGCAGCAACGCCGCGUGAGUGAAGAAGGUUUUCGGAUUGUAAAGCUCUGUUAGCAGGGAAGAGGAAGGACGGUACCUGCAGAGGAAGCCACGGCUAACUACGUGCCAGCAGCCGCGGUAGUACGUAGGGGGCAAGCGUUAUCCGGAUUUACUGGGUGUAAAGGGAGCGUAGACGGUGCAGCAAGUCUGAUGUGAAAGGUCGGGGCCCAACCCCGGGACUGCAUUGGAAACUGUUGAACUGGAGUACAGGAGAGGUA
rnacentral:rRNA from 1 species